AUGGUUAAGUUAGAAAGGGCGCACGGUGGAUGCCUUGGCACUAGGAGCCGAAGAAGGACGGCACUAACACCGAUAUGCUCCGGGGAGCUGUAAGUGAGCUUUGAUCCGGAGAUUUCCGAAUGGGGGAACCCACCGCCUUUAAUGGGGCGGUAUCCAUG
rnacentral:rRNA from 1 species